rnacentral:lncRNA from 1 species
UACGAUUUUUGGCGCCCUUUCGUCUCAUUUAGGGCAUUAGUUAGGGCAUUAAUAGCUGCCGUCACUUUAUCAUCAUCGCAACUUAUUUCGAAAUUCCCUCCAACAGUUUCGUCUUCCUUGUUCUCGUUUCCUCCUCUUUGACUUCUCUUCUUUACUUCCUUCUCGGGAUCCCCAUCUUCGACUCCUCUUCUUUAUUCCUUUCUCAAGAUCCUUUUCUCUGCAAUCCUCUUCUCCCUUCAUCUCUAGAUUAGAUUUUACUCUUUUGAACCC